AUUGAACGCUGGCGGAAUGCUUUACACAUGCAAGUCGAACGGCAGCACGGGGGCAACCCUGGUGGCGAGUGGCGAACGGGUGAGUAAUACAUCGGAACGUGCCCAGUCGUGGGGGAUAACGUAGCGAAAGCUACGCUAAUACCGCAUACGAUCUCUGGAUGAAAGCGGGGGACCGCAAGGCCUCGCGCGAUUGGAGCGGCCGAUGGCAGAUUAGGUAGUUGGUGGGGUAAAGGCUCACCAAGCCGACGAUCUGUAGCUGGUCUGAGAGGACGACCAGCCACACUGGGACUGAGACACGGCCCAGACUCCUACGGGAGGCAGCAGUGGGAAUUUUGGACAAUGGGCGAAAGCCUGAUCCAGCCAUUCGCGUGCAGGAUGAAGGCCCUCGGGUU
rnacentral:rRNA from 1 species